rnacentral:tRNA from 1 species
GGAGGUGUAGCUCAGUGGUAGAGUGCUUGCUUAGCAUGUAUGAAGCCCUGGGUUCAAUCCCAGCACUUCCA